GCUUGCGUGGCUCAGUGGUAGAGUACUCCCUUGGUAAGGGAGAGGUCACGGGUUCAAUUCCCGUCGCAAGCUCCA
rnacentral:tRNA from 1 species